rnacentral:lncRNA from 1 species
CACUGCAACCUCAAACUCCUGGGCUCAAGCAAUCCUCCAGCCUCAGCCUCCUGAGCAGCUGGGACUACAGGUGUAUGACACCAUGCCCAGCUAUUUUUUUUAAAUAAAUGACUUUCUAAGGUAUCUACAUUUAUUCAGUCCUGUGUUUCUGUUAGGACAUCUUCUAUUACAAAAUCUACGAGGAAAUCUAGAGGCCUCCAAGGACCUGGCUGGGCUUCAACUCUGGCUGAGUUUGAGAUGAGUAAACCAGACUGAAGGACCUUGCCCAAGGCCUGCUUCAGCUGCCAGCCACCCACACUUGCUAAGAGAAAGGAAAGGAGCUUUGUCACCUCCUGAGGGACUGCCUCUGCCAUCAGAAAACCACCCCAAUCCCUGGCACCAGCAGAGCUGGGUUGCAUCUGACUACCGUUAGCAGCUGUCCUUCAGAAGGAGGAGAUCCACCUGUCUCGAUAUCAGUGUCCUCAUUUGUGGAAUAAAAGCUCUGGAAUAAGGUAGGACUGUCCUAUGGUUGGGUCAUUUGUGGAGGUGUCGGUCAGUGGCUAAGUAGGUUAUUGCAUAGGGUAUGGUUGUAUUCCUAAUGUUUGUAUUGGCAUGUUUUAACAUAAGCAGAACUGAACUUCAAGAAGGAAAGAAAGAAAUCUCAAACUGUAUGCACUUUGGAGCAUCCAGGGACCACACCCCAAAACCUUUUGGUAAAUUAUAUAUGUGUGUUCCCUGAGCUCUGUAGGUGUUAAAAAUUAGGGCAAAAUCCCAGGUACCAGGAAAAGAAACAUCACGGCUUGCAGAUGAUGAGAGAGUUGCAGAAAUUGUACAGUGGUUAGGAGCUAUGGUGGGAUACAAUGUGGGAUCCACCCUGAUUUCAGCGGGCGUUCCUGGGUCUUGUAUGCACUAGGUGCCCUCAAUGCUUGGCAACUGGAAUGGGUUAGCCUGGAGGCAUUUAGGCUGUCCUUCUACAACCACAGAAGAGCCAUCACUGGCA